GCCUGGGUGGCUCAGUCAGUAGAGCAUCUGACUUCGGCUCAGGUCAUGAUCUCAUGAUUUGUGAAUUCAAGCCCCACGUCGGGCU
rnacentral:tRNA from 1 species